UACGAAGGGAGCUAGCGUUGUUCGGAGUUACUGGGCGUAAAGGGCGCGUAGGCGGUCUGCCAAGUCGGGAGUGAAAUCCCUGGGCUCAACCCGGGAAUUGCUCUCGAGACUGGCAGGCUAGAGGAUGGGAGAGGUUGGUGGAAUUCCCAGUGUAGAGGUGAAAUUCGUAGAUAUCGGGAGGAAUACCAGUGGCGAAGGCGGCUGCCUGGCCUGUUCUUGACACUGAGGCGCGAAAGCUGGGGGAGCAAACGGG
rnacentral:rRNA from 1 species